rnacentral:rRNA from 1 species
GGUUCAGGAUGAACGCUAGCGACAGGCUUAACACAUGCAAGUCGAGGGGCAGCAUAAAGUAGCAAUACUUGGUGGCGACCGGCGCACGGGUGAGUAACGCGUAUGCAACCUACCUAUCAGAGGGGAAUAACCGGCGAAAGUCGGACUAAUACCGCAUAAAACAGGGGCACCACAUGGUGAUAUUUGUUAAAGAAAUUCGCUGAUAGAUGGGCAUGCGUUCCAUUAGGUAGUUGGUGAGGUAACGGCUCACCAAGCCGACGAUGGAUAGGGGAACUGAGAGGUUGGUCCCCCACACUGGUACUGAGACACGGACCAGACUCCUACGGGAGGCAGCAGUGAGGAAUAUUGGUCAAUGGGCGGGAGCCUGAACCAGCCAAGUCGCCGUGAAGGAAGAAGGAUCUAUGGUUCGUAAACUUCUUUUGCAGGGGAAUAAAGUGCAGGACGUGUCCUGUUUUGUAUGUACCCUGAGAAUAAGGAUCGGCUAACUCCGUGCCAGCAGCCGC